rnacentral:rRNA from 1 species
AACGAACGCUGGCGGCAUGCCUAACACAUGCAAGUCGAACGAAGCCUUCGGGCUUAGUGGCGCACGGGUGCGUAACGCGUGGGAAUCUGCCCUUUGGUUCGGAAUAACAGUUGGAAACGACUGCUAAUACCGGAUGAUGACGAAAGUCCAAAGAUUUAUCGCCAGAGGAUGAGCCCGCGUAGGAUUAGCUAGUUGGUGUGGUAAAGGCGCACCAAGGCGACGUUCCUUAGCUGGUCUGAGAGGAUGAUCAGCCACACUGGGACUGAGACACGGCCCAGACUCCUACGGGAGGCAGCAGUGGGGAAUAUUGGACAAUGGGCGAAAGCCUGAUCCAGCAAUGCCGCGUGAGUGAUGAAGGCCCUAGGGUUGUAAAGCUCUUUUACCCGGGAUGAUUAUGACAGUACCGGGAGAAUAAGCCCCGGCUAACUCCGUGCCAGCCGCCGCCGUAA